rnacentral:rRNA from 1 species
GUGGCGCACGGGUGAGUAACGCGUGGGUAACCCACCUUCGAAUCUGGGAUAACUCCGCGAAAGCGGUGCUAAUACCGGAUAAGACCACAUUCCGUUCGCGGAAAGAGGUAAAAGCUGACCUCUCCAUGGAAGUUAGCGUUCGAGGACAGGCCCGCGUCCUAUCAGCUUGUUGGUGGGGUAAUGGCCUACCAAGGCAGCGACGGGUAGCUGGUCUGAGAGGAUGAUCAGCCACACUGGAACUGGAACACGGUCCAGACUCCUACGGGAGGCAGCAGUGAGGAAUUUUGCGCAAUGGGGGAAACCCUGACGCAGCAACGCCGCGUGGGUGAAGAAGGCUUUCGGGUCGUAAAGCCCUGUCGGGUGGGAAGAAACUCUUCAGUACUAAUAAUGCUGAAGUCUGACGGUACCACCAGAGGAAGCACCGGCCAACUCCGUACCAGCAGCCGCGGUAAUACGGAGGGUGCAAGCGUUGUUCGGAAUUAUUGGGCGUAAAGAGCGUGUAGGCGGCUAGGAAAGUCAGAUGUGAAAGCCCUGGGCUCAACCCAGGAAGUGCAUUUGAAACUCCCUAACUUGAGUACGGGAGAGGAGGGGGGAAUUCCCGGUGUAGAGGUGAAAUUCGUAGAUAUCGGGAGGAAUACCGGUGGCGAAGGCGCCCCUCUGGACCGAUACUGACGCUGAG